ensembl:snoRNA SNORD116 Small nucleolar RNA SNORD116
GGAUCGAUGAUGACUUCCUCAACAGCAUUCCUUGGAAAGCUGAACAAAAUGAGUGAGAACCCUAUACCGUCGUUCUCAUCGAAACUGAGGUCC